rnacentral:rRNA from 1 species
CCCUUAGAGUUUGAUCCUGGCUCAGGAUGAACGCUGGCGGCGUGCCUAAUACAUGCAAGUCGAACGAAUCUCUUUUAGAGAUGAGUGGCGAACGGGUGAGUAAUACAUAGGUAACCUGCCCCUGUGCGGGGGAUAACAGGAGGAAACUCCUGCUAAUACCGCAUAGCCAUGAGCACCGCAUGGAGCUCAUGCCAAAUAUCCUUUCGGGGAUAGCGCAGGGAUGGACCUAUGGCGCAUUAGCUGGUUGGCGGGGCAACGGCCCACCAAGGCAACGAUGCGUAGCCGGCCUGAGAGGGCGGACGGCCACAUUGGGACUGAGACACGGCCCAGACUCCUACGGGAGGCAGCAGUAGGGAAUUUUCGGCAAUGGGGGAAACCCUGACCGAGCAACGCCGCGUGAGCGAAGAAGGCCUUCGGGUCGUAAAGCUCUGUUGUAAAGGAAGAACGGCGCAUACAGGAAAUGGUAUGCGAGUGACGGUACUUUACCAGAAAGCCACGGCUAACUACGUGCCAGCAGCCGCGGUAAUACGUAGGUGGCGAGCGUUAUCCGGAAUCAUUGGGCGUAAAGAGGGAGCAGGCGGCCGCAAGGGUCUGUGGUGAAAGACCGAAGCUAAACUUCGGUAAGCCAUGGAAACCGGGCGGCUAGAGUGCGGAAGAGGAUCGUGGAAUUCCAUGUGUAGCGGUGAAAUGCGUAGAUAUAUGGAGGAACACCAGUGGCGAAGGCGACGGUCUGGGCCGCAACUGACGCUCAUUCCCGAAAGCGUGGGGAGCAAAUAGGAUUAGAUACCCUAGUAGUCCACGCCGUAAACGAUGGUCACUAAGUGUCGGGGGUCAAACCCCGGUGCUGCAGUCAACGCAAUAAGUGACCCGCCUGAGUAGUACGUUCGCAAGAAUGAAACUCAAAGGAAUUG